UACGGAGGAUGCGAGCGUUAUCCGGAUUUAUUGGGUUUAAAGGGUGCGCAGGCGGCGUGUCAAGUCAGCGGUAAAAUGUCGGGGCUCAACCCCGGCCGGCCGUUGAAACUGGCGUGCUCGAGUUGGAGAGAAGUAUGCGGAAUUCGUGGUGUAGCGGUGAAAUGCAUAGAUAUCACGAAGAACCCCGAUUGCGAAGGCAGCAUACCAGCUCCACACUGACGCUGAGGCACGAAAGCGUGGGUAUCGAACAGG
rnacentral:rRNA from 1 species